CCGAAAUUUCUUGAAAUUAGUAGCUACUAGCUUGAUAUUUUGGUGGUUGGAUGCGUUGAUUAUUGAAUAUGUAUUAAUUCUGCAUGAUAUGAUGGUUUUGGGUAUUAAAUGAUGGGUUUUUUUUUGGUGGUUUGGAUAUGUAUGGAUGAUUGUAAGUUUUAUAGACAGGUUUAGAUUUGUCUAAAUAUCUAUUUUUAAAUGAAACUCUGCAAAAAAAAUUUAAAAUCAGUAGCGACUAGCUUGCCCAAAUUUGCAAUGGCCCAGAUGAUUUUUUUGGCCAUAUGUUUGACCAAAUUUACCUUCUUCUUUUUUGCGGUUGGGUCAAUUAUUUUUGAAGUUCUUAUUUUAUUUUAAUUUUUAUUUAAUCAGGCAAAGGAGCUCCAAACCAAUUUGGUUCACAUGAACCUUUUAAAUAAGUGGGUAUCAUUAUGGUAUUUCAUAGCAACAAUGCUUUUACCUAUUAAUGUAUCAGCGACUGGUAUUCCAUGGACAUAUUUGUAUGAUGUAUUGUGCUUAAAAUAGUUUUACUAAUUAAUCCGUGUUCCAUUUAAAAUUGCAAAUUAAAUGAAGGGAAUCAAU
rnacentral:lncRNA from 1 species